rnacentral:rRNA from 1 species
GGUAAACGCUGGCGGCGUGCCUAAAACAUGCAAGUCGCACGCAAGUCGCAAGGCUUGUGGCAGACGGCUGAGUAACGCGUGGGUGACAUACCUGUUGGUGGGGAAUAACUGCCCGAAAGGGUGGCUAAUACCGCAUACGUCCGCUGCUUCGGUGCAGUGGGCAAAGCCGCAAGGCGCCGAUGGAGUGGCCCGCGUCCGAUUAGCCAGUUGGUGGGGUAACGGCCUACCAAAGCGACGAUCGGUAGCUGGUCUCAGAGGAUGAUCAGCCAGACUGGGA